GCCCACGUAGCUCAGUUGGCAGAGCACUUCCUUGGUAAGGAAGAGGUCACCGGUUCAAUUCCGGUCGUGGGCU
rnacentral:tRNA from 1 species